rnacentral:rRNA from 1 species
AUUGAACGCUGGCGGCAGGCCUAACACAUGCAAGUCGAGCGGAUGAAGGGAGCAUGCUCCUUGUUUCAGCGGCGGACGCGUGAGUAAUGGCUAGGAAUCUGCCAGGUACUGGGGGAUAAGGUUCGGAACUGGACACUAAAACCGCUUACGCCUAGCGGGAGAAAGCGAGGGAGGUGGAGCUUCCGCGCUAUCGCAAUAGCCUAGGUCGGAUUGGCUAGUUGGUGGGGUAAGGGCCUACCAAGGCGACGAUCCGUAACUGGUCUGAGAGGAUGAUCAGCCACACUGGAACUGAGACACGGUCCAGACUCCUACGGGAGGCAGCAGUGGGGAAUAUUGGACAAUGGGCGAAAGCCUGAUCCAGCCAUGCCGCGUGUAUGAAGAAGGUCUUCGGAUUGUAAAGCACUUUAAGUUGGGAGGAAGGGAAUAAAGUUAAUACCUUGCUGUUUUGACGUUACCCGCAGAAUAAGCACCGGCUAACUUCGUG